rnacentral:rRNA from 1 species
CAGUCGCCGCGGGAAUACGUAGGUCCCGAGCGUUGUCCGGAUUUAUUGGGCGUAAAGCGAGCGCAGGCGGUUAGAUAAGUCUGAAGUUAAAGGCUGUGGCUUAACCAUAGUGCGCUUUGGAAACUGUUUAACUUGAGUGCAAGAGGGGUGAGUGGAAUUCCAUGUGUAGCGGUGAAAUGCGUAGAUAUAUGGAGGAACACCGGUGGCGAAAGCGGCUCUCUGGCUUGUAACUGACGCUGAGGCUCGAAAGCGUGGGGAGCAAACAGGAUUAGAUACCCCGGUAGUCCCUGUCUCUUAUACA